GUUAAGAUGAAGUGCGUGCUGGUACUGGCAGUGGUCACCUAUCCAGCUAUCCUAUUGCCUAAACCUGUGUACGCGAGUCGCAAUCAAGCUAAAAAUCCGUGGGCAUUAAAGCAGAACCGACCAGCCACUGCAUCUGAUCCGCAUCGAUUGUAGAGAUGCCCUCUUGCCUCGACUAGCUUAACACUUGGCUUUUCCUCGCCAUUCCUCGAAGCUUCUUUGUUUUUCCUUUCACCAUCCGUCUUUUAAUACUCACUUGAGGAAACAAAUUUCUUCUCAGGAUCCUCUUCCAGCAUAUCUAAUCAUCCCUCUCUCUCUCAGAGCUUAUUUUAAUUUUAGAUGGCUUCAUCGGCUCUAAUCUGCGACACCCAGCCAUGGAAGAAUUUGAAGGCCCAUGUUGAGGACCUUAAGAAGACCCAUUUACGCGAUUUGUUAAGCGACACAGAGCGAUGCAAGUCAAUGAUGAUGUAUGUUUCAGAAGUUCCUUCCCUUAUCUCUCACAUUUUGAUAUUACGGUGAAAUGAUUGGGCAAUUAUCAGAGAAUUGGUGCUAGAAGGUUCUUUUUUUCUCCCCCUAACGCGGGUUCUAUUGUCCAUAGCGAGUUUGAUGGAAUCAUGCUUGACUACUCACGGCAACAGGCCACUGUUGACACAGUGGAUAAGCUCUAUAACUUAGCAGAGUCAGUUCAUCUCAAGGAAAAGAUUCAUUGCAUGUUUAAUGGGGAGCGCGUAAGUCAUUUUUUUCCCGCCAUAAUUCGACUCUUAUAUGUCAGCUUCUGUCAAAUUUGCAUACACACACAUACACACAUUAUUUUACAUGAAGACAUUGGGUCUGUUAAAAAUUUCUCUUGUUUUUUCAAUAGUUUGUUAUGGUGGCCAGGUGUCUAAGUCCUUGAUUUAACUGGGAAGUCUUCAUGCCUUGCAUAUUUGUCUUAAGAAAAUGACCGAGCCUAACUCACUUCCAAAAGCUCCAAAAGCUGGGGAGAGAGGAGAGUACCCCUACCCAUAUAAGGGCUAGGAUCUUAACACACGCCUCACACCCAGACCGAACACUGGAGACCCAAACAUUAAUUGGAGAGGCACUGAUACUAUUUUAAGAAAAUGGCUGGACCUAACUCACCUCAUAAGCUAGCUCAAGGGCGGAGGGGAGUAGUACUCAAAGUCAUAUAAGGGCACAUUACCCCUAUCAAUGUGGAUCUUAACAAUUUGUUAUGAAUUUGAGCAGAUUUACGUGUUUUGACAUUUCUUCAAACUCUUGAAAUUACUGUUUUUUUUUCUACUUGGCUUCAUGUUUGGGUGGCACUUCAGAUCAACAGCACAGAGAAUAGGUCAGUCCUUCAUGUUGCUCUUCGUGCUGCAAGGAAUGCAGUUAUAAACAGUGAUGGCAAGAAUGUUGUACCAGAUGUUUGGAAUGUUCUUGACAAGAUCAAGGAGUUCUCUGAGAAAGUCCGCAAUGGUUCUUGGGUUGGAGCUACAGGGAAACCACUGACUAAUGUUAUUGCCAUUGGUAUUGGUGGCAGCUUCUUAGGCCCUCUUUUUGUACACACAGCUCUUCAAACAGAUCCAGAGGCUAGCAGAUUUGCAAAAGGCCGCCAACUGCAAUUUCUUGCAAAUGUUGAUCCAAUUGAUAUCGCUAGAAAUACUGCUGGCCUAAGUCCUGAAACUACCCUUGUUGUUGUGGUUUCUAAAACUUUUACUACUGCUGAAACUAUGUUGAAUGCACGGACGCUAAGGGCAUGGAUUUCGAAAGAACUUGGACCUUCUGCUGUUGCAAAGCAUAUGGUGGCAGUUAGCACAAAUCUUACGCUUGUAGAAAAGUUUGGCAUCGAUCCUAAUAAUGCUUUUGCAUUCUGGGACUGGGUUGGUGGCAGGUAUAGUGUUUGCAGUGCUGUUGGUGUAUUGCCUUUGUCUCUCCAAUAUGGUUUCUCAAUUGUUGAGAAGUUCUUGAAAGGAGCAUCAAGUAUUGAUCAGCACUUCUCUUCAGCUUCAUUUGAGAAAAAUAUUCCUGUACUUUUAGGUUUGUUGAGCGUAUGGAAUGUUUCAUUUCUUGGAUAUCCUGCAAGAGCCAUCUUACCUUACUCCCAAGCCUUGGAGAAAUUUGCCCCACACAUUCAACAGGUUAGCAUGGAAAGUAAUGGCAAGGGGGUAUCUAUUGAUGGUGUGCCACUUCCCUUUGAGACUGGUGAAAUUGAUUUUGGUGAACCAGGGACAAACGGUCAGCACAGUUUUUAUCAACUAAUUCAUCAGGGACGUGUAAUUCCUUGUGAUUUUAUUGGUGUUGUGAAGAGUCAGCAACCUGUAUACCUUGAAGGGGAGGUUGUGAAUAACCAUGAUGAACUCAUGUCUAACUUUUUUGCACAGCCAGAUGCCCUUGCUUAUGGGAAGACAGCAGAGCAGUUGCAAAAAGAGAAUGUCCAGCAGCAUCUAAUUCCUCACAAGACAUUCUCUGGCAAUAGACCUUCUCUCUGUAUUCUGCUUUCCUCAUUGGAUGCUUACAGAAUUGGACAGUUACUGGCAAUCUAUGAACAUAGAGUAGCUGUUCAAGGCUUCAUAUGGGGAAUCAAUUCCUUUGACCAAUGGGGAGUUGAGUUAGGGAAGGUAGCUGAGGAUACCCUAUGUGGUUAAUUCCAUGUUACACUAGUGUGCUACUACACGACAUAUACCUAAUCAUAUCUGCCUCAAUUUGUUAACAGUCACUGGCUACACAAGUCAGAAAGCAACUUAAUGCAUCUCGUACAAAGGGAGAACCAGUUGAGGGCUUUAACUUCAGCACUACAACAAUACUAACAAGAUACUUAGAGGAAAGUUCGGAUGUCCUAGCCAAUCCUCAGACUCUUCUACCUCGGAUAUGACUCUGGAUGCUGUAUACUUCAGCUGACCAUUUUUAUGAUGAACUGGAAGGCUUUUGGCUUCAUUUUGUCAGUAUAUUUGAAUAUCACAGGCAUGGCACCUAUCCACUUGCCUCAAGUAUUUGAGACUCUCCCAAUGUUUAAGAUCCUUUUUCAACAAGAGCAUGGCUAUCAUGAGGAUAUGCAAAAACUGUGACAUGCACGUAAACUAUCAAGGAAUUGAAUUUGUGUGUAAUUUUUGUUGGUGAAUCCCAAAUAAAAGUUGUGCAUCCAGUGGUAUGUCUCAAACGAGUCCAAUAUAUUUAUAUUAAGCAUUGAAGAGUUUUUACCAACUUUAUCGUCGGCAUUAUAACAUUAGAAAGAAAAGGUAAAAAAAAAAAAAAAGAAACUUGCUCUUGUUGGAAUUAGCUCAUCAUUGUGCAAAUAUUGCUGUUCAACCACUAUUAGAUAAAGGACAUGAUAUAUUUUCUAAUAGCCUAAAUUGGUGGUUGUAUUUUUGAUAAUUUGUUUCGAUCUCCCAUUUUGCCCACAAUAUGAUUAGUGUAAGCAAGUCAUAAUGCAAGUUUUUAAGACAUUUUCUGUUGGCUUUGACUGAUAUAUGCACUUUUUGCAUAUUUCUUAUACUAUAUUGUGUCGAAUUUUUCAGGCCAUAUUUUGUAGGUAAUCUUAAAUGUCCUGAAUUUUAUGACCAUUUUCAAUUGCAAUCAUCGCUUUUUAUGCUACAUGAACUUUUGAAUUGUUGUAUCCACUGUACUAAGGUAUGUGCAAUUAGUGGUCAUGUGGUAACAUGGCUUGCAAGGCAGGGAAAUUUUGAAUUGGAAAUUCUUCUUGAGGUGGGGCCCACUUAGUUCCCAAAAUGGCCAAAAUUAUGUAUUUCAAAUCAUCUCUCUGAAAACUAUGUCCUCUUUCACAUCCUUGCCCACUUUCUCCUUCAAUUUCAGAAAGGUCAUUCUUAUUAUAAAAUUCAAUGGUGGGACCAUGGGCCUGUGGAGAUCGUUGGCAACCCAAUCGAUAACCAUGUUGUCAUUGCAGAUCAAAGAAUUGAGUCUUCAUUGAUGCUGAUGUGGUUAGGAUGUGUGGGGUAGGCAAGCGAGGUUUUCUUGGUGUAUGGUGGAGCAUGAGUUCAAGAGAGACCAGACAGUUGAGGGAGGUGACAAGAUUGUCUUCAAUAUUUUGGCAUGGUAUAUUUUAUGGUGUGGGUUGUGGUUGCUGGCAUAUUCGUUUGAAAUGUGUACGGUGAGUAUUGUAGGGCUUGAAGGGGUAGGAUUGGAAUUUGAGGUGUGUUUGGAUGAAAAGAAAGUGAGAGAAAAAUGCAGAAGAAAAGAGAUGGUGUGCAGCUCUCUCAAACAACAAUAGUGGGAGACGGUUUAAAUGGCAGCGUUUUGGCCUUUUUACUUCAAGAAGACUACCCAGCUUAGAUUUUCUCUCCUCCUCAACAAGUGUUGUCAUCACCACAUUAUCAAUUGGAUCCACCCCUAGCUUUGUGGAUGUAAUUGUCACCAAUUUUAAAUCUCAUGGAACAAAUUGUUAAAUUAAAGCAUUGCAUAGUAUUGAGAAUUGCUGCAAAGCUCAGGAUAUUUGCAUUAUUAAUCUUAUUUUGUUUUAUCAUUUGAUUCUAUUUUUGUCUUCAAAUCAAACAGCAUAAGGAGUUGAAACGCUUCUUCCUGUCAGCAUUCUACCAUGUGGGGGAGUCUCACCUAGUCUACAACAUGAUGUCUCUCUUGUGGAAGGGUAUCCAGUUGGAAACUUCAAUGGGAAGUGCCGAAUUUGCAUCUAUGGUUGCUGCAUUGCUAACUAUGUCCCAGGGUAUCACGCUGCUAAUAGCCAAGUCCCUUCUCUUGUUCUUUGACUAUGAAAAGCCUUUUUAUUCUGAAUAUGCCGUUGGGUUCUCUGGUGUUCUCUUUGCAAUGAAAGUUGUCCUUAAUUCUCAGUCUGAAAACUAUGCAUAUGUGCAUGGACUAGUGGUACCAGCACGCUAUGCUGCAUGGGCUGAAUUGAUUCUUAUCCAAAUGUUUGUACCUGGGGUGUCAUUUCUGGGGCACCUUGGUGGAAUACUUGCUGGACUUCUCUAUUUGAAGUUGAAAGGAUCAUAUUCAGGUCCAGACCCAUUGACUUCAAUCAUCAGAAAUUUUGCAGGCAUAUUGAGCUGGCCUUUGAAGUUAAUGAGAAGCUUAUUUAGACCAAGGCGGCAGCGGAUUUCUGGUCGGGGUACUGUUGGUGCGAGUCAGGGAGGAAGGACAGUAUCAGGGGUGUGGAGGUGUCAAGCAUGUACAUUUGACAAUUCUGUUUGGUUAAGCGUAUGUGAAAUGUGUGGGACAAGUAGAGGUGGCAGUGGUUUUUCGUCCCGUCAAUUGCAACAUCAGGAUGGUGAUGAUCUCACAUUGGCAGAAAUACGUCGACGGAGGAUUGAAAGAUUUGGUUGAUUAUUUUUUUCAAUUUCCUUAAUUAUUUUGAAUCUGGGGUCUCAGAUUGUUGAUGUUGGAAUGCUGCCCAUUCGGUCAUGUUAAUUUUAUAGUUUGGUUAAUGGCCACAUGGUGAUUGCAUUGUAGAAUCAGAACAGACAUGGCUUUGCUUUAACUCUGGUAUGCUGUAUUUAGGAAUACCCCAUUUUAAAAUUUGAUUUAAAUAGCGAAAAUAUGAGCGUGUACGUCUGCAUUCAGAAUGACAGAUGGGGGCUUGUGAUUGGGUUGUUAUACGCAUGUCAUGCAGGUCGCCCAUUGAUAUAGCUCUUUUCCAAUGAAUUUCUCUGCACUUCAUUUCUGUUAUUUUAUAAUUGUGUCUGUAGACUUUGCUUGGAACGUCGAAACAUUCUAAAUGAUGAAAUUCUCUUUGGUAUUUAGCAAUUAGAAUUAACCUGAGG
rnacentral:misc_RNA from 1 species